GAUGAAGAACGCAGUGAAAUGCGAUAAGUAAUGUGAAUUGCAGAAUUCAGUGAAUCAUCGAAUCUUUGAACGCACAUUGCGCCCGCCAGCAUUCUGGCGGGCAUGCCUGUUCGAGCGUCAUUUCAACCCUCGAGCCCCCCCGGGGGCCUCGGUGUUGGGGGACGGCACACCAGCCGCCCCCGAAAUGCAGUGGCGACCCCGCCGCAGCCUCCCCUGCGUAGUAGCACACACCUCGCACCGGAGCGCGGAGGCGGUCACGCCGUAAAACGCCCAACUUUCUUAGAGUUGACCUCGGAUCAGGUAGGAAUACCCGCUGAACUUAAGCAUAUAAUAAGCGGAGGA
rnacentral:misc_RNA from 1 species